rnacentral:rRNA from 1 species
AUGAGAAUUGCAUAUUUUAGUGAAAAACUCUCCGGUGCUCAACUUAACUAUCCCAUAUAUGACAAAGAAUUGUAUGCUUUAGUGCGUGUACUACAUGUUUGGGAACAUUAUCUUAGACCUCAUGAGUUUGUCAUCCAUACCGAUCAUGAAACGCUAAAGUACUUAAAAGGUCAAACUAAGUUGAACAAGCGUCAUGCCAAAUGGAGUGAAUUUAUCGAAUCUUUCCCCAAUGUGAUCAAAUACAUUAAGGGUAAAGAAAAUGUAGUUGCGGGUGCGCUUUCACGCAUAUGUACGCUUGUCACUAAACUUGAGUUGAAUGUUAUUUGUUUUGAGCACAUCAAAGACUUGUAUGCUAAUGAUCCAUCUUUUGCUAUUCCUUAUGCUAAGUGUUUUAUGCAUACUUCUUGGGAACAAUAUUAUAUCAAGGAUGCUUAUCUUAUGAAAGCUAUCAAACUUUGCAUUCCCGAGUCUUCCCUUCGUUCGCUACUUUUGCAAGAGGCUCAUGGAGGCGGACUCAUGGGACACUUUGGACGAGAUAAGACAUUUUCCACGCUCUCCAAGAACUACUUUUGGCCCAAGAUGUUUCGAGACGUCUUACGCUUCACCACCCGAUGCUCUACAUGUCGCAAAGCUAAGUCUAAAGCUCAAUCUCAUGGUCUUUACAUGCCUCUUCCUAUUCCUUAUCAACCUUGGGAAGACAUUACCAUGGACUUUGUACUUGGUUUGCCUAGAACUAAAAAUGGAAAGGAUUCCGUGUUUGUUGUUGUGGACUGA